rnacentral:rRNA from 1 species
CCUACGGGAGGCUGCAGUGGGGAAUAUUGGACAAUGGGGGGAACCCUGAUCCAGCCAUGCCGCGUGUGUGAAGAAGGCCUUAUGGUUGUAAAGCACUUUAAGCGAGGAGGAGGGUACUGGUAUUAAUACUACCAGCUACUGGACGUUACUCGCAGAAUAAGCACCGGCUAACUCUGUGCCAGCAGCCGCGGUAAUACAGAGGGUGCGAGCGUUAAUCGGAUGUACUGGGCGUAAAGCUUGCGUCGGCGGCGAAGUCCCCGAGCUUAACUUGGGAAUUGCAGUCGAUACUGGUUAGCUAGAGUGUGGGAGAGGAUGGUAGAAUUCCAGGUGUAGCGGUGAAAUGCGUAGAGAUCUGGAGGAAUACCGAUGGCGAAGGCAGCCAUCUGGCCUAACACUGACGCUGAGGUACGAAAGCAUGGGGAGCAAACAGGAUUAGAUACCCUAGUAGUC